GCAUCAAUGGGGUAGUGGUAACCUGGGUCGUUGCCAUCAGUUUAUGCAAAGCGAUAUGUCGACCCGCCGGGGGUUCGAUUCCCUCUUGAUGCA